rnacentral:rRNA from 95 species
GUUGACCUCGGAUCAGGUAGGGAUACCCGCUGAACUUAAGCAUAUCAAUAAGCGGAGGA